rnacentral:rRNA from 1 species
CCUACGGGGGGCUGCAGUGGGGAAUAUUGGACAAUGGGCGAAAGCCUGAUCCAGCCAUGCCGCGUGUGUGAAGAAGGCCUUCGGGUUGUAAAGCACUUUCAGUGGGGAAGAAAGCCUUGGGGCUAAUACCCUCGAGGAAGGACAUCACCCACAGAAGAAGCACCGGCUAACUCCGUGCCAGCAGCCGCGGUAAUACGGAGGGUGUGAGCGUUAAUCGGAAUUACUGGGCGUAAAGCGCGCGUAGGCGGUCUGAUAAGCCGGUUGUGAAAGCCCCGGGCUCAACCUGGGAACGGCAUCCGGAACUGUCAGGCUAGAGUGCAGGAGAGGAAGGUAGAAUUCCCGGUGUAGCGGUGAAAUGCGUAGAGAUCGGGAGGAAUACCAGUGGCGAAGGCGGCCUUCUGGACUGACACUGACGCUGAGGUGCGAAAGCGUGGGUAGCAAACAGGAUUAGAUACCCCAGUAGUC